rnacentral:lncRNA from 1 species
ACAGAGUAUUGUACCAAGCACUCGGGAGAGUAUAGUACAACAGAAUUAGCAGACACGUUCCAUAAUGUGUUUACCGAAUAGAGGACCAAUCCCUGUCCGAUAGGUACUUCGCCAAGAUUCCAUUAACCCACUCAUGUGGGCUCAGGAAAUGAGGGAGAUGGAUGGCCCGAGGUAAGCCAGUGCCCAUCCAGUCUUGCCUCUCCCUCCCUUACCAAUGGUCUUAUUAGUGACAGGAGCCUUUCUACAGACAGUAGUGGAGACUCUAUCCUGUAGUUUCUGUUCGGACUAAAUCUAGCAUUUCUCUUUACCUAUCAUUAGACCCUGAACCAAAUGGCUCCUCAGUAGGCAGCUUGUUUUUGUUUUUCACCAGCAUGGAAUAUUCCAGGACCAUUAAACCGAAGAACGAAAUUAAACUGAGAAUAACACAAACCUUUCUCUGAAGCGGCCUGUAUGGGACUCCUGCCCUCUAAGAGAUUCUAAUCUGAGAUGAACACCACUGAUGUGCAUCUACAGUGUUCAGACAACUGAGCAAGCAUCAGGACAAGAACCAACAGCUGCAACUUUGCAACCCUGGGGGGUGGGGAGGAGACUGAACUAAUCCACCACAGAGCUCAUUCAACAUGGGCCCAUAGGAAUAGGGGUCAGGGCUGGGAGAGAAAUUCAGCUCCUCUUGUGUGAGCUUUGGAGGUACAAAAGGACAAUGAGAAGACACAGACUAAGAUUGCUUUCUAUUUCAAAGGAUACCGAUGACUGUGGGAUUGUGUUGUCCUCACCACCAGCAGCUAGGACAUGAAAUAAUUUGUUGUGCAGAGGCCACUGAGAAGUAAAGUGGCCACUGAUGGCAUUCAAGAAAUGAACACCCCUUUUCUGAUCCUCUCCUGGCCACUAUAAAACUGGACAGAUGACCCCCUUAAGAAGAAGAGGCUAGGCUGUUUUGUCCCUGUCUCUGCCACUGGCCUGCUCCCUGGCUUUAGAUAAAUCCCCUCACCACAGGGACCAUAUCUAAUUCCACCUGUGUAUCCCACCUGAGAAGCAGUAUGGUGGAACUGAUAGAGCACAGGGCUGGGAGUCAGAAGGUCCCAGAUUCUAAUCCUGUCUCUGCCUCUUGUCUGCUGUGUGACCUUGGGUAAGUCACUUCACUUCCUCUGUGCCUCAGUUACCUCAUCUGUAAAAUGUGGAUUGAGACUGUGAGCCCCACAUGGGAGAGGGAGUGUGUCCAACCUGAUUUGCUUGUAUCCACCCCAGUGCUUAGGACAGUGCCCGACACAUAGUAAGCAUUUAACAAAUACCAUAAUUAUUAUUCUGUAGCAGUGCUUAAUACAGUGUUCUGCACACAGUAAACACUUAACAAAUGCUAUCACUACAACUAUUAGUUUCCUGUUUGCUUUUCAGUAAAAGAAGGGGGAUGAGGUCUUGAUAAAAAGUAAAACCAAAAAACACCUUGAUGAUAACAAACCCAAUUUCGUCAUCUGCAGGAGGGAAUGACUUAGUUGGUAUCUGUGUAAGGAUUUC